CAGCCAUGCCGCGUGUGUGAAGAAGGUCUUCGGAUUGUAAAGCACUUUAAGUUGGGAGGAAGGGCAGUUACCUAAUACGUAUCUGUUUUGACGUUACCGACAGAAUAAGCACCGGCUAACUCUGUGCCAGCAGCCGCGGUAAUACAGAGGGUGCAAGCGUUAAUCGGAAUUACUGGGCGUAAAGGCGCGUAGGUGGUUUGUUAAGUUGGAUGUGAAAUCCCCGGGCUCAACCUGGGAACUGCAUUCAAAACUGACAAGCUAGAGUAUGGUAGAGGGUGGUGGAAUUUCCUGUGUAGCGGUGAAAUGCGUAGAUAUAGGAAGGAACACCAGUGGCGAA
rnacentral:rRNA from 1 species